CCCGCGCUCCGCUCCGGGCGCCAUUUUGUGCGCGGCGGGGCCGGUCGGUACCGGGAGCGGCUCCGGGCGGGCAGCGCUCCCCGCCGCCUGCAGGGCGCCAUGCCGGCCGGGCCGGUGCAAGCGCUGCCUCCGGCGCAGCCAGCGCCGCCUCCUGCCGAGAGCAAACCGGUGCUGCUCGGCCUCCUCCUCCUGCUGCACUUGGGUUUCCUUCUCCACCUGAAGCAACCUGUUCCCACAGCUCAUCCUUCUGCUUCUCCAACUCUUCCAGCUCAGGGAGUUGACCUGCUGCAGCAGCAUCUGGAGAUGUUUGCUGAUCUCUGGGAGAGGUCCAUGCUCUGCUCCAAGGCCCAGUAGCUCACGUCCAUGACAGAGAGGGUCCUUCUCUCCGUGCUCUCCACCACUUUCUCCUGGAACUUGCCCAGAGCUGAGGGGAUGUUCUGGCUCUGGCAGAUGCUGGUGGUGGCUCUGCCCACCUUGCAGAGGCUGGUCUGGGCACUGCUGCAGCUCUCACAGGGUCCCUGAGGCCACCCAACCAUCUGUGUGGUGACACUGGAGCUUCUCUUGGCCAUGUUGCAGGCAGCCCUACAGGUUGGUGGCCGAGGUGUCACUCUCUGGUGCAGGGACACUGGAUGAUGAGUGUGGUGACGUGAGCUGGGCAACCUGUGUGGAAGUUCUUGACUUCAACAGGUCAGACAAGCAGAGUUCCAGGAGCUGCUUCUUGGCUUUCCCAGCCUGGGGAGUGGGUGGCAGCAGGGGGACCUCCUUCCUGCCAGGAGGCUGGAUCCAGCAGCGUGGCUGGGAGCGGUGGUUAGAGAAGGGAGGGACUGGGGCUGGGAGGGGACAGUGGGACAGAUGUGUCCUGCCUGGCACACAGCUCAGCACUGGAAGGGCCACCAGCCCAGGGCACAUCUGGUGCUGCCACUGCACGUGUCACGGCGUGUCCUGGAGAAGGAUGGUGACCAAACCAUGGGGAAUGAGGCAGGGGCUGUUUCCAUGGCCCUCAGCUCAGGGGGUGUCAGGGCCCCCAGAUGUGACACCUGGUCCAGGAGCUGCUGGUAAUAGUCCCCCAGUCUGAGCAGGCUUCCCCAGGCCCUCCUGGCUGUCAGCCCUACAGACUGGCAGGCAGCUCCCUGGGAAUGGCUCCUCUUCUGAAACACAGUCUUUAUGUCACCCAGGUUGCAGAAGGUGCUUUUGCCUCCCAGGCCUGUAGAUGCAGCUGAGUCCAAGUGUUUCCAAGGCUUGGGGGUGCAACUGAAGGAGCCUGCCCCCUCUGCCCAGGUGCCCUUGGCUCCUGGGUGGGGCAGGGACUUCCUCUGCUCCUUUAUGGCCAGUGUUUGUGCUGGUAGCUCUGAGCUUGGGUGGAAUUGGGUUUUAAAACUCAGUGUAGAGCUGCAGAGCGUGAGGCUGAGGUGCUGGCUCGUCAUGGAAAUGGGUGGGAAAACAGCACCCAAACCACUAGGCUGCAUGGGACAGGCUGGGGACACAACUGUCCCCUUCCCUCUGGGGAAAGGACCUGCAGUUGGAGCUGUAGAACUUGCCAUAUUGUGUGCUUUAGGUGAACUUGGCUCAUUAUAAUGUCUUUAUAAUACUAAAAAUCACACCCCCAGGUCAAAAAGACUCCUGCCCUGGUGAAGACCCUGCCCCUGAGCAUGUGUGGGGGAUAUGAUAACUAUCUGUAAAACACUGACCAAUCACUAUGAGGGGGAUGGAUUUGGAAGCUUACACACUUUCUAGUUUUGUGUAUAAAUAUGUCAUGAAAAGUCUCCUUUGGGCUGCUUGAUUUGUGGGAAGGCACCAAGCACCCAGCUUUGUACAACCCUGCAAUAAAUAACUGUCUCUUUCCUUAA